AGUGAACGCUGGCGGUAGGCCUAACACAUGCAAGUCGAACGGCAGCACAGUAAGAGCUUGCUCUUACGGUUGGCGAGUGGCGGACGGGUGAGGCAUACAUCGGAAUCUACUUUUUCGUGGGGGAUAACGUAGGGAAACUUACGCUAAUACCGCAUACGACCUACGGGUGAAAGCAGGGGAUCUUCGGACCUUGCGCGAUUGAAUGAGCCGAUGUCGGAUUAGCUAGUUGGCGGGGUAAAGGCCCACCAAGGCGACGAUCCGUAGCUGGUCUGAGAGGAUGAUCAGCCACACUGGAACUGAGACACGGUCCAGACUCCUACGGGAGGCAGCAGUAGGGAAUAUUGGACAAUGGGCGCAAGCCUGAUCCAGCCAUACCGCGUGAGUGAAGAAGGCCUUCGGGUUGUAAAGCCCUUUCGUUGGGAAAGAAAAGCAGCAGGUUAAUACCCCGCUGUUCUGACGGUACCCAAAGAAUAAGCACCGGCUAACUUCGUG
rnacentral:rRNA from 1 species